AUCCGAAAUUUCGAGGAUGGUUCCUAAUUUGUAGCCUUUGCCGAAUCUUCACGCGGUUUCAUGUAUUUUAAUUAGAAAAAAAAAAAAAUCAUUUUCUAUGGGCUAUACUAUAUUCUGAGAACACAACACUCGAGCAAAGAUUAAAUAUAGAGUUUUUUUGUUAGCUUGGCUUCAUUCUCAGGUUCUGGAUCAAUUUCCUAAUGGCUGGAAUGCUUCCUGGAGUUGAAUGUGCUCGAAGGAGACGCGUGCAUGGUAACACAAUCUCAAGUAGCGCUGUUGAAGAUAAUUAUUUAACAAGGCACUCUUUCUCUUUGUAUUACCCAACCAAUUUCGAAUCUCUUAUGUUACCUUCAUCACUCCCCACAAUUUCACUGGAGAAUAAGAGAAAGGCGUUGAAGCAUGAAGAUCUAGAUGAGGAUAUGGGAAGAGCAGCCAGAGAAGCUAAACAAAAAUUGGACGACAAGUUUAGGCAACAACGAAAACUAGAAGCCCCAGAGAAUAAGAGAAAGAGACUCUUUUGGUGGUUCCUGAUAGCUUAUGCCCCCUGCAAACUCCAAAACACCUCUUCCAUCUUACAACCCAAUCACUAAUCACCACGUACCAGACUGUACCUCAUCGAGUCACACUUAUAUUUUUGAAACCUCUAUGUACAACUGUUUUUAAUUUUCUAUACAUAGAUCUUGGUUAGCAUCAACUUUUUU